UGCUGCAUGGCUGUCGUCAGCUCGUGUCGUGAGAUGUUCGGUUAGGUCCGCUAACGAGCGCAACCCUCGCUGUGUGUUACAAGUGUCACACGGAACUGCCGGUCAUAACGGAGGAAGGUGGGGAUGACGUCAAGUCAGCAUGGCCUUUAUAUCCUUGGGCUACACACACGCUACAAUGGGAAGGGACAAUAGGUUGCGAAGCCGCGAGGCGGAGCCAAUCCAGCAAAACUUCCCUCAGUUCAGAUUGCAGGCUGCAACUCGCCUGCAUGAAGUUGGAGUUGCUAGUAAACGCAGGUCAGCCAUACUGCGUUGAAUACGUUCCCGGGGCUU
rnacentral:rRNA from 1 species